GAUGAACGCUGGCGGCGUGCUUAACACAUGCAAGUCGAACGGAAAGGCUCCUGCUUGCAGGGGUACUCGAGUGGCGAACGGGUGAGUAACACGUGGGUGAUCUGCCCUGCACUUCGGGAUAAGCCUGGGAAACUGGGUCUAAUACCGGAUAGGACGAUGGAUUGGAUGCCAUUGUUGAAAGUUUUUCGGUGUGGGAUGAGUUCUCGGCCUAUCAGCUUGUUGGUGGGGUAAUGGCAUACCAAGGCGUCGACGGGUAGCCGGCCUGAGAGGGUGUACGGCGACAUUGGUACUGCGAUACGGCCCAGACGGCUACGGGAGGCAGCAGUGGGGAAUAUUGCACAAUGGGCGCAAGCCUGAUGCAGCGACGCCGCGUGCGGGAUGACGGCCUUCGGGUUGUAAACACCUUUCGCUAGGGACGAAGCGCAAGUGACGGUACCUGGAGAAGAAGCACCGGCUAACUACGUG
rnacentral:rRNA from 1 species